UACGUAGGGGGCUAGCGUUGUCCGGAAUCAUUGGGCGUAAAGAGCGUGUAGGCGGCCCGGUAAGUCCGCUGUGAAAGUCGGGGGCUCAACCUUUGAAUGCCGCUGGAUACUGCCUGACUUGAGUCCGGAAGGGGCGAGUGGAAUUCCUGGUGUAGCGGUGAAAUGCGCAGAUAUCAGGAGGAACACCAAUGGCGAAGGCAGCUCGCUGGAACGGUACUGACGCUGAGGCGCGAAAGCGUGGGGAGCGAACAGG
rnacentral:rRNA from 1 species